GACGAACGCUGGCGGCGUGCUUAACACAUGCAAGUCGAACGGAAAGGCACUGCUUUUGUGGGGUGCUCGAGUGGCGAACGGGUGAGUAACACGUGAGUAACCUGCCCUUGACUUUGGGAUAACUUCAGGAAACUGGGGCUAAUACCGGAUAGGAGCUCCUGCUGCAUGGUGGGGGUUGGAAAGUUUCGGCGGUUGGGGAUGGACUCGCGGCUUAUCAGCUUGUUGGUGGGGUAGUGGCUUACCAAGGCUUUGACGGGUAGCCGGCCUGAGAGGGUGACCGGCCACAUUGGGACUGAGAUACGGCCCAGACUCCUACGGGAGGCAGCAGUGGGGAAUAUUGCACAAUGGGCGGAAGCCUGAUGCAGCAACGCCGCGUGCGGGAUGACGGCCUUCGGGUUGUAAACCGCUUUCGCCUGUGACGAAGCGUGAGUGACGGUAAGGGGUAAAGAAGCACCGGCUAACUACGUG
rnacentral:rRNA from 1 species